UACGUAGGUGGCAAGCGUUGUCCGGAAUUAUUGGGCGUAAAGCGCGCGCAGGUGGUUCCUUAAGUCUGAUGUGAAAGCCCACGGCUCAACCGUGGAGGGUCAUUGGAAACUGGGGAACUUGAGUGCAGAAGAGGAAAGUGGAAUUCCACGUGUAGCGGUGAAAUGCGUAGAGAUGUGGAGGAACACCAGUGGCGAAGGCGGCCUUCUGGACGGUAACUGACGCUGAGACGCGAAAGCGUGGGGAGCAAACAGG
rnacentral:rRNA from 1 species